rnacentral:rRNA from 1 species
GAUGAACGCUGGCGGCGUGCCUAAUACAUGCAAGUCGAGCGAACGGACGAGAAGCUUGCUUCUCUGAUGUUAGCGGCGGACGGGUGAGUAACACGUGGAUAACCUACCUAUAAGACUGGGAUAACCUCGGGAAACCGGAGCUAACACCGGAUAAUAUUUUGAACCGCAUGGUUCAAAAGUGAAAGACGGUCUUGCUGUCACUUAUAGAUGGAUCCGCGCUGCAUUAGCUAGUUGGUAAGGUAACGGCUUACCAAGGCAACGAUGCAUAGCCGACCUGAGAGGGUGAUCGGCCACACUGGAACUGGGACACGGUCCAGACUCCUACGGGAGGCAGCAGUAGGGAAUCUUCCGCAGUGGGCGGGAGCCUGACGGAGCGGCGCCGCGUGAGUGGUGGAAGUCUUCGGAUCGUAAAACUCUGUUAUUAGGGGAGAACAUAUGUGUAAGUAACUGUGCACAUCUUGACGGUACCUAGUCAGAAAGCCACGGCUAACUACGUG